rnacentral:misc_RNA from 1 species
AUGGUUGUUCUCCCCCUCAUUCCAUCUUUACUUCGGAGAUGCACUGUACUUGGUCUCUCUCCUUUUAAAGAAAAAUGCACAAUGGACGCAGAAUGAGUGGCCAUACACAUUAUAAGUUGCUCAUUAAAAAGAUGAAAUCAAGAUAAUCUUUGCCUCCUCAACCAACUGAAGUUUUUGAACUUUAAUACUUCUUCAGCGAGUAGGAGCAACAUGCCUAAUUUUCA